AGAGUUUGAUCCUGGCUCAGGACUAACGCUGGCGGCGUGCCUAACACAUGCAAGUCGAACGAGGUAGCAAUACCUAGUGGCAGACGGGUGAGUAACACGUGGUCAACCUGCCUCUUAGUGGGGGAUAACUAGCCGAAAGGUUAGCUAAUACCGCAUACGAUCGUCGCGAGGCAUCUCGUGACGAUGAAAGGAGCAAUCCG
rnacentral:rRNA from 1 species